AACGAACGCUGGCGGCAGGCCUAACACAUGCAAGUCGAGCGAGGACUUCGGUCCUAGCGGCGGACGGGUGAGUAACGCGUGGGAACGUGCCCUUUGCUUCGGAAUAGCCCUGGGAAACUGGGAGUAAUACCGGAUGAGCCCUUUGGGGGAAAGAUUUAUCGGCGAAGGAUCGGCCCGCGUUGGAUUAGGUAGUUGGUGGGGUAAUGGCCUACCAAGACGACGAUCCAUAGCUGGUUUGAGAGGAUGAUCAGACACACUGGAAGUGAGACACGGCCCAGACUCCUACGGGAGGCAGCAGUGGGGAAUCUUAGACAAUGGGGGAAACCCUGAUCUAGCCAUGCCGCGUGAGCGAUGAAGGCCUUAGGGUUGUAAAGCUCUUUCAGCUGGGAAGAUAAUGACGGUACCAGCAGAAGAAGCCCCGGCUAACUCCGUG
rnacentral:rRNA from 1 species